GACGAACGCUGGCGGCGUGCUUAACACAUGCAAGUCGAACGGAAAGGCCCUGCUUUUGUGGGGUGCUCGAGUGGCGAACGGGUGAGUAACACGUGAGUAACCUGCCCUUGACUUUGGGAUAACUUCAGGAAACUGGGGCUAAUACCGGAUAGGAGCUCCUGCUGCAUGGGGGGGGUUGGAAAGUUUCGGCGGUUGGGGAUGGACUCGCGGCUUAUCAGCUUGUUGGUGGGGUAGUGGCUUACCAAGGCUUUGACGGGUAGCCGGCCUGAGAGGGUGACCGGCCACAUUGGGACUGAGAUACGGCCCAGACUCCUACGGGAGGCAGCAGUGGGGAAUAUUGCACAAUGGGGGGAAGCCUGAUGCAGCAACGCCGCGUGCGGGAUGACGGCCUUCGGGUUGUAAACCGCUUUCGCCUGUGCCGAAGCGUGAUUGACGGUAAUGGGUAAAGAAGCACCGGCUAACUACGUG
rnacentral:rRNA from 1 species